UACGUAGGGGGCAAGCGUUGUCCGGAAUUAUUGGGCGUAAAGAGCUCGUAGGCGGCUUGUCGCGUCGACUGUGAAAUCCCGCGGCUCAACCUCGGAACUGCCUUCGAUACUGCGGGUCUCGAGUCCGGGAGAGGUGAGUGGAAUUCCUAGUGUAGAGGUGAAAUUCGUAGAUAUCAGGAGGAACACCGAUGGCGAAGGCAGGUCUCUGGGCCACUACUGACGCUGAGAAGCGAAAGCAUGGGGAGCGAACAGG
rnacentral:rRNA from 1 species